rnacentral:rRNA from 1 species
CCUACGGGGGGCAGCAGUGAGGAAUAUUGGUCAAUGGACGAGAGUCUGAACCAGCCAAGUAGCGUGAAGGAUGACUGCCCUAUGGGUUGUAAACUUCUUUUAUAUGGGAAUAAAAUGUUCCACGUGUGGGAUUUUGUAUGUACCAUAUGAAUAAGGAUCGGCUAACUCCGUGCCAGCAGCCGCGGUAAUACGGAGGAUCCGAGCGUUAUCCGGAUUUAUUGGGUUUAAAGGGAGCGUAGGUGGAUUGGUAAGUCAGUUGUGAAAGUUUGCGGCUCAACCGUAAAAUUGCAGUUGAAACUGGCAGUCUUGAGUACAGUAGAGGUGUGCGGAAUUCGUGGUGUAGCGGUGAAAUGCUUAGAUAUCACGAAGAACUCCGAUUGCGAAGGCAGUUCACUGGACUGCAACUGACACUGAGGCUCGAAAGUGUGGGUAUCAAACAGGAUUAGAUACCCGGGUAGUC